AGAGUUGAUCCUGGCUCAGGAUGAACGCUAGCUACAGGCUUAACACAUGCAAGUCGAGGGGCAGCAUGAAGUUUGCUUGCAAACUUGAUGGCGACCGGCGCACGGGUGAGUAACGCGUAUCCAACCUUCCCUAUACUAGAGGAUAGCCCGGCGAAAGUCGGAUUAAUACUCUAUGUUCUUCGUAGAAGACAUCUGAAAUGAAGCAAAGGUUUACCGGUAUAGGAUGGGGAUGCGUCUGAUUAGGUGUUGGCGGGUAACGGCCCACCAAGCCCACGAUCAGUAGGGGUUCUGAGAGGAAGGUCCCCCACAUUGGAACUGAGACACGGUCCAAACUCCUACGGGAGGCAGCAGUGAGGAAUAUUGGUCAAUGGACGAGAGUCUGAACCAGCCAAGUAGCGUGCCAGGAUGACGGCCCUAUGGGUUGUAAACUGCUUUUAUACAGGGAUAAAGUUCACUACGUGUAGUGUUUUGUAGGUACUGUAUGAAUAAGGACCGGCUAAUUCCGUGCCAGCCGCAGC
rnacentral:rRNA from 1 species